UACGAAGGGGCUAGCGUUACUCGGAUUGACUGGCGUAAGGGCGCGUAGGCGGUCUGUUGCGUCCGCUGUGAAAACCCGGGGCUUAACCCUGGGCUGGCAGUGGAUACGGACAGACUAGAGGUAGGUAGGGGAGAAUGGAAUUCCCGGUGUAGCGGUGAAAUGCGCAGAGUAUCGGAGGAACACCGGUGGCGAAGGCGGUUCUCUGGGCCUUACCUGACGCUGAGGAGCGAAGCGUGGGGAGCGAACAGG
rnacentral:rRNA from 1 species